ACAAAAUUCGGAUGAACACGUUUGACUAGAAUUAAAACUUUACAAACCAAAUCUCACUUGUAUUACAACAAGACUUUCUAAAGACUUAUUUUCUCUCUCAUCCGCUCACAUUUGUCUUUGUUUUUUCUUAAGGGAAUUUGCCUUUGGUUUUCAGAUCAUCAACAAAUCAAACUUCCAAUCAAUGUCUGUACCAUGCUCAAUUCCCUUCAUCUUGUUCCUCUGAAUUUCUGCAAAGAAUCAAGUGGAGGUUGAUCAAAUCAAUGGUUGUUACAGUUGAAGCUCGAAAGUUCAGCCUCCCUUACCUUUCUCUCUCCUCGCCUCAGGUCACUUCUUUCCACUACGACCCCAAUUCUCUCUCCUUAGCUUUGAUGCAUUCCGAUUCCACUUUCUCUCUCUUCCCGUCCUUUUCCCCCUUUUCAAUUUGCAAUUCGUUACCCCCUCCUCAAACCCUAAUUCCCCCUCCCUCUUCAUCUGCUUGCUUCGUGCCUCUUAAUGCUAACCCUAACCCUAAAGUUCAAGAUGGGGUUUCCCCAGAUGACAAAAAAAGGGUUGUUUUUGUUACUGCUGGGCCCCACAAUGGUGGGUCUAAGGUUGUUUUGAGAUUUCAUUUGUUGGGUAUUGAUGGGAAGUUUGUGAGUGCAACCCAGGUGGAUUGUAGUCAGAAUGGACUUUGUUUUGAUAGGAAACUGGGGGUGAUUGUGGAUGUUAGUCAUGGGAUGAAGGUUGUGCUUUCUGGGUCUGUUAAUUACUUGGCUUUGUACUCAGCUUCAGGGGGGAAAGUGUGGGUUUUUGGGGUGAAAUUGGUGGGGAAUGGGAGGGGUUUGAGGUUGGUGAAGUGUGCUGUGAUCGAUUGCAGGUUGCGCAUUUCGUCAAUUUAUCUUUCCUUCGGGUUUUUGAUAUUGGGGGAGAUGAGAGGGGUUAGGAUUUUCCCGUUGCGUGCCAUGGUGAAAGGGAAGGUUGGGAGUGGAAGGAGAUUGAGAGUGGCGAAAGGGAAGGGUGAGAAAUCGAAUGUCGAGGGGAGGGAUUCUAAAGUGCCAAACGGGAUCAUUAGGCCUUUUGCUGAAAGCAAUGAACUAAAUAAGAACACUGGGAAUUCAAAUGUUUCCAAAUUGUUGCCUAAUGGUCAUGCUUGUAGUGUUCUUGAUGGUGUAUCCUCAAGUUCAAAUGCGGAUGGAGCUGUGAAGUCGAGGUCUUUGAAAUUCCGACAAGACUCUGGUGAGUGGGGAAUGCAGUUUGUUCUGUUCAAUGAUUGUGUCCAUGAAGGGAUUAAAUCCGGAGUGAUGCAAUCUAAUAAAAGAAAGGCGACCUCCAUCCAAGCUAUUUCACCGGAGAAAUUUCUAAUUCUGGAUUCGAAUGGAGAUUUGCACAUACUUCAUGUGUCAAAAUCUGGCUCUUCUCGAAUGAGAAGGUUAACUUGCACCAUCCAAGUACAGCAAUUGGUUGCUUUUCCUGAUGCAUCUGCUGAUUCUCAGAUUGUUUGGAUAUCUGAUGGACUAUAUUCUGUUCACGUGAUGAUGAUACCUGGUUCAGACACCAAAGAAAAGGAAAGUGGUGUGAGCAACGAUGAAAGAGAGAUCAUUCAAAGUUCAGUCACCCAAGCCAUAUUUACAAGUGAGAGCAUUCAGCAUGUUGUGCCCUUGGCUGCAAAUCGAAUCUUGAUUCUCGGUCAAGAUAGCCUAUAUGCUUAUGGAAUUUCAUGAAGUUUCUUGCAACGUCUUGCUUGUGUGCUGGAGAAUUUUCUUCCUGGUCAAAUAUCAAAAUCUGAGUAAUGGGGCUCUAUUAUCGCUUCUGUUUAGACUGAAUCCAUCUAUGCAUCGUAUGUUCCAGUGUCCUUUACAAUCCUCUGAUCUGACCUUGACAUAGAGUUACUGAAGUCAUGAGCUACAUUUGUCAUUCCAUUCUGCUGGUGUUGUCUUCAGGACUGGCAGCUCGUCAAGGGGAAAGAUUAUAUGGUGAUGAGUUGGAUGCCUGGAAAUGGAGCAGAUUCUCUUUAGCUCGCCAUGUACUGAGCCCUUCUUCCAGUGUCUCUGCGUACUACACAAGGCUCAGGCAGGGAGAGGAAGGAAAAGAAAGGCUUGCCAACAGCGAGUAUAGUAUCUGUCAGCUUGCCGUUGAAGUAGUAGUUGCUGGCAAUUGCUUCAAGGUACUCGUUGAUUUAGAUGAAACUCCAAAUCCGUCGUUGAAGUGUUGAACCAAUUUAAAUAGUGGAAGUUUGGGGACUCCUUUUAUGUGAAAGAGCUUCAUACAAUCCAUUUUAAUUGUUGUUUAAGAUCUUCAAAUGCUUUAUGUUUUAUACUAUGUAGUAUCAUUUUACAAAAACUUUUAGGUUGAUUAUGAACAAAUGAUUCGGAGGUGUGCAUUACGUGAUUUAAAGAGUUAAAGACAAGUUGGUUUUUAGAAGACAAA